CGGUAUCAUGUAGGAGCCUUUUCGUGGCGAUACUAUUUUAAACUAAUCCUAC
rnacentral:ribozyme from 1 species